rnacentral:tRNA from 1 species
AGGAACUUAGGUUAAUACAAACCGGGGGCCUUCAAAGCCCCAAACAAGCCAACAUGCUUAGUCCCUG